UAUCUCUGUAGAGUCUGCAUAUCAAUAAGCGGAGGAAAAGAAACUAACAAGGAUUCCCCUAGUAACGGCGAGUGAAGCGGGAAGAGCUCAAAUUUGAAAUCUUCAAGGUUUGACCUUGACGAAUUGUAGUUUAAAGAAGUGUUUUCGGUUAGAGGAGUAGUAAAAGUUCUUUGGAAUAGGACAUCAUAGAGGGUGAGAAUCCCGUAUUUGACUAUUCUUUCUAGCUUUGUGAUACACUUUCAAAGAGUCGGAUUGUUUGGGAAUGCAGUCCAAAAUGGGUGGUAAAUUUCAUCUAAAGCUAAAUAUUGGCGAGAGACCGAUAGCGAACAAGUACCGUGAGGGAAAGAUGAAAAGAACUUUGAAAAGAGAGUUAAACAGUACGUGAAAUUGUCAAAAGGGAAGCGUUUGACACCAGUGUUGUUUUUCCGAAAAUCAAUUAAAAAUUGAUUCAUGCCAGGUUGUAUUGACCUUAUCAGCUUGCAAUUUGGUUUUGGGUCUCUUUUUGAUGCACUUUUCGGUUAACAAGUCAACAUCAAUUUCCUUUGCUGUAAAAAGGUAAGAGGAAGGUGGCUUCAAUUUCGGUUGAAGUGUUUGUAGCCUUUUAUCUCUGCAGUCGGGGAGAUUGAGGUCUGCAGCGUAGAUCCUUCGGGGCUAGAUACAUUUAUGCUAAGUUAUAGCUUUUCAUAGACAUCUUGUUGACUAUGUUUAGUCAUGUAGCUUACUCGUAAGUGCUAUUUUACCUACGCUUAGGAUGUUGAGCGCAUGUCUCUCUCU
rnacentral:rRNA from 1 species